rnacentral:rRNA from 1 species
UACGGGGGGAGCAAGCGUUGUUCGGAUUUACUGGGCGUAAAGGGCGCGUAGGCGGUCAGCACAAGUCAGUUGUGAAAUCUCCGGGCUUAACUCGGAAAGGUCAACUGAUACUGUGCGACUAGAGUGCAGAAGGGGCAACUGGAAUUCUCGGUGUAGCGGUGAAAUGCGUAGAUAUCAGGAGGAACACCGGCGGCGAAGGCGGCACUCUGGGCCGGUACUGACGCUGAGGAGCGAAAGCGUGGGUAGCAAACAGG